UACGUAGGGGGCUAGCGUUGUCCGGAAUCAUUGGGCGUAAAGCGCGUGUAGGCGGUCCGGUAAGUCUGCUGUGAAAGUCGGGGGCUCAACCCUCGAAUGCCGGUGGAUACUGUCGGGCUAGAGUGCGGAAGAGGCGAGUGGAAUUCCUGGUGUAGCGGUGAAAUGCGCAGAUAUCAGGAGGAACACCUAUUGCGAAGGCAGCUCGCUGGGACGUAACUGACGCUGAGGCACGAAGGUCAGGGGAGCAAACGGG
rnacentral:rRNA from 1 species